AUGAACUUACAACCGCGCAGAUUAGGUUUUAAAGGAUAAUCCCUGCCUAUAAUGGCGAGUCUGAUGUUAUGA
rfam:Bacillus sp. JCM 19045 DNA, contig: contig00014.